ensembl:lncRNA
CAGGGACGUAAGACAAUGGUGUUUUAAUAUGAGAAACCAGCAGUACUCCAUCUUGGAAUAUACAAAUGAUCAUACGUAUACUCCUGUGCUGAUGCUGCUGUUCUGUCAGUACUCUGCUGGUAAUUAAUGUAUCUACUGUUUUGUGAUGUGUGUGUUUUAGANAUGUGUGUGUUUUAGAUCAUGUUCCUCUCAGACUGAGUGGAGGUAAGGGCCGGUGCUCUGGGAGGCUGGAGGUGUAUCAUAACGCUGUGUGGGGCUCAGUCUGUGAUGAUGAGUGGGACAUCAGCGAUGCUCAGGUGGUCUGCAGGCAGCUGGGUUGUGGAGCAGCACUGAGGGCUGAUGGGAAUUCAGUCUUUGGUGCUGUUGAAGGUGUUGUGUGGAUGAACAAAGGUCAAUGCAGAGGGAAUGAGAUUCACCUGUGGGACUGUCCUCUCUCCCUGAAAAACCACACUGACUGCUCCCACAAAGAGCACGCUGGACUCACCUGUGCAGAUUUGACAGAUUUGUCAGUGUCCACUUCUCCUGCCACAACAACAUCAGCUUCUCGUCCAGUUUCUCCUCCAGUGCGCUCAACAUCAGUCUCUCCUCCACAAACUCCUCCAGCAGCGUCUCUCUCCAUCCCCCCAGUGCUUGUGAUUGUUCUGGGAGUUGUGCUCUUACUGCUCUUAGUGCCACUGCUUAUACUGAUUCAGCAGAACAGAGUGAUGAGGAGAGCUCUCUCUAAGAGGAGACACAAGAUGAAGACUGAGGCCGUUUAUGAGGAGAUUCAGCACAGACUCACUACCAGAGACAGUCUCUUCACUCAGAGGGGAAGUGUCCUUUCUGAAGAACAGCAUUCUGGGUAUGAAGAUGCUGAUGAGCUUCUUUCAGAAGAGCAACAAAUCACAUCAGAGAACUAUGAUGAUGUAAUGACUGUUGGACUGAGUCAUGCUACAGAUGACUUACCAGAAAACUAUGAUGAUGUCGUCAUCAUACAACAGUUAUCCAGUGAUAAAGCAGAGGCGGUUCAGGAGGAGUAUGAUGAUGUGAAGUAUGUCAGAGAAUCUAUGAGUGACAUGUUUGACUAUGAUGAUGUGGAGGAGGAUCCAGGAAAACAGGCAGGAGCUGUAUAACUCAAACCUCACACACUGCCUCAAAUCCUUUUAAAGCUUUUAAAGUUUUAGCAAUCUUACUGUAUAAGUUUCAGUUGCAGGCUAACAAUGUUUUGUUACAUUCUGUACUGAAAUAUACAAUUGCAAUUUUUGACUGAAAAAAAAAAAAUGCAUUGCUUUCAUGACCUUUUCAAAAGGUGCCUGACUUUCUCCAGACGCUUUUACAAAUCUUUUCUAUUGUGUAGCCUCAGAAAUUUGAGAGAACAAAAACCUGUCAUUUUCUGACAUCAGUUACUUUGUAUAAACAUAAUUGUGUUGAGUUCAGAUCGUUCACCAUUCAGCUACCACCCAUCAUUAAUGGAUUACAAUAUCUUCAACUUAAUAAUAUCAUAAUAUUAAAUAUCAUUCACUAUCAAAAUGUCAUUCAAUGAUGGUUCACUGUUUAUAUUUUUCUGAAGGACAUUAGAAUGUUACGGUGGCCGAGAGCUCAACGCGCUGCAACUUCAGAAAACACAUGCAAAGAGAAAAAGCACCAGCAAAUUAAGAAAACUUCAUCUUCUUCAUCAGUCUGAGAGCACAUGUGCGCAAAUCCUCACAACACAAACAAAGAAACACACAAGUACAGACCACAACAAAAUUACCUCAACAAAAUUAAACAAAUUUUGAUUACCAUUACCAUUUGUUACCACAGUUGUACAAAUACCAUGGUUAAACUAUGGUAUGUAGUAAAUCCAUGGGUAAUUUGAGCAUGGUUACCAUGGUUUAACUAUUAACCAUUUUUUUGUUUUUAUUUACUUUUUAUAUAAUAAAUGUAUAAAUUAAUACA